UACGGAGGGGGCUAGCGUUGUUCGGAAUCACUGGGCGUAAAGGGCGCGUAGGCGGAUGUGUCAGUCAGGGGUGAAAGUCCCGGAGCCUCAACUUCGGAACUGCCCUUGAUACAGCACGUCUUGAGUCCGGAAGAGGUGGGUGGAAUUCCUAGUGUAGAGGUGAAAUUCGUAGAUAUUAGGAAGAACACCGGUGGCGAAGGCGGCCCACUGGUCCGGUACUGACGCUGAGGUGCGAAAGCGUGGGGAGCAAACAGG
rnacentral:rRNA from 1 species